rnacentral:sRNA from 13 species
CUUAGGCUGCUAUAUACUGGCUUACUAUCUUAUCUUACUCGGAUUCGGCUGUAUAUUUCUGGUGUUGCUUAAGAUUGCCAUCUCUUGUCCACGCAUGCUCGUUUUAUGGAUUCUGCAUUCCCAGAUCAAUGUCGUUGCUGGCGUUUUGCUGCUGGCUUCCGCUGCUGAUCCUAUUAAUCUUUACUACUUACUUCCCAUACACAAUUUUGUGAAGGUGCUGAGCUUGAUAGCAGAAUUGAUUUUCUACCUAUUAAUGGCCAGCAGAAGCACUGGAAAUGAUGCGUUGUUUGCAUACUCAAUUGUCUCGAUUUUCAGUACAAUCUACGUAGUGCUUGUGGUUUUCUCCUUUUAUGAGAUUUUGCAGAGAACGUUUUAAGCUGGUUUUGUAUGCGUGGUGGCUUCACUGCAGCUUAUGGCUUAUCAUGGCUAAAGAAAAACGGUAGUUGGUACGGUCGACGUCGAGCGGACUUAAUCACAGCGUGUAGCAUUUUGUGCCGUGAUUAAAAGUAAAUUUAUUAGGCAAAUGUUGCGCAAUUGGUCGCCAGCAUUCAGCUUACAGUGCAUAAAUCGUGCGGGGCCAAUUGUCACCAGGCUCCAGGCUCCAAUUCAUACCUUACCCCACAGCUCCAGCUCCAGU